GUUUAAGCAUGCUCUUAAAUGGCUUCCUGAAUUAAAGCUUAAUGCUUACAAAACUCUUCAUAUCUAAAUACAGAAGAUAGUAUAUACAUGUUAUGUAGAGGGAUCAGUGUUGUCAGCAAAGUCAGAUGAGAUCUGCAGCUGCCAGAGAAUAAAACCACAGUGGGCAGCUAAUGGACAAGUGAAAUAACAAAGGUUCUUCAAAGCACAGUGAUGAAGACUACACAUCCAGAAACAGCUUGUGCAUAGCACAUUUGCUUAGUAACAAAUGUCACUGUGAAAGCAUUACCCUUUAUCACUAUAUUGAAAAUCACAGAACGAAGAAUUAUUUGAUAGUAUUGUUAUCCAUGGACAGGAUCCAUGGUCACCACAUGGUCAACAUCACAAUGAACCCCUCAUCUCCAGGGGCUAUGAGAAGUGCCUGCUGUGUAGGCAGUGUGACUUCCAGGAGCUCUGACCUACUAGGCCCCUGGAAGACACAUGUGGACAGAGGAAAGUAGCUGUAUUGUAGCACAGGUACCAACCGUCUUUGGAAAUAUCAGCCUCAUCAGGCACUGACAAACUAUCCAAGAUGUCAAUACUUGGUCCCCCUGCCCUCCACAGUGGAGAAAUGUGCUGAUGGGAAAUAACUGUCAUCUUCUUCCUCAUCAAAAUACAAGGUACAGCUAGGUGCUACUUAAGUACGUGUCUUGUCAGGUUGGGAAGUUCAGCCAAACCUCUUUGGGCAAGAGAGUAAUAACCACAGCAAGAAGAAAAAUCAGAUCAAUAUCUGCAGGCUAGUUUUACAUCAGUAUUCAUACACAGGAAACAAAAACAACAACAACAAACGUUUUAAGAGAUCUCUAAAGGGUAAAUUUAUUUUUUUUUUGUACAAAUUUGACAGAAAUACAUACAUAAAUGAGUGUGUGUAUUUGAGAGAAUAGCAGACAAUGCAAUGCAGACGGUGUGAUUACUAGGAAUUUUUACUUUUUGGCUAUCUAAACACAUAUACUUGUAAGAGCAUAAAGACAAAAUAUAACUCCACAAAAUAAUUGAAAAGAUCUUAUGGUGAAGUAAUUAACAUGCUUUCCAUUUACUAAAAUAUCUCACUGGUUGCCAGAAAUACUCAAGAAUAUAUGAAGUUAAAUUCUAACACUGUGAAGUUGAUCAAAAUAAUAUUCCUACUAAAUUCAAUGUGAAAUAAGACUUCAUCCUCUUUCUCUUUAGGAUUUUCUGGGGGAUGAUGCAAAGGGCAUGAAAAGGAACAAGCAAUAAAAUAAGCAGAAUACACAGGCCUCAAAAUUUGCUCAGAAGAACGUGAUAAAAUGGCAACCACUGCUGUGAAAAAAACAGAAGCUGUUUUAUGAUAUCCGUAAUGGUUUAGGGCUGGGAUACAGGAGUUCCUGGCUGUGGUUACAACCUAACCUUGAAGGAAUGGUUCUGUUAUUCAGUUUUCCUUUGCAUUAAUAAGGAUAGUAAAUUCCUGUUAGAGAUAAUUUAUUAAUGUUUAUGGAAAUAUGUUAAUUAGCAUCAGAAAGUUCUAUUUAAAAAAAAAAAAAAGAAGAAGAAAAUAUUAAAUAGGUAUUUGGAUUAAUGAAUCUGAAGAGAUAUGUAGGUUGACUAGAGAAAGUAAUGAGUGAGCUCUCAGGUGUUUCCUAUGUUAAUAAGAGCUGUUAGUCAAAUAAGUGACUUGAGUUUAUAGUAAACUCAGGCUUAUUCUGUUUGAUUUCCUAAGGAACUUUUCCCAAGCCUACUAAAAUUAGUGAAACUCUCUUCCAUGAUUUCUUGUCAUUCCAGAACUUCUGGGAUCAGUCCCAGAAAGAGUAAGGAAUGACUCUCAUGAGAAAAGAUAAAGGGUAUGAAACUGGGGCAGAGGAGAAGUCCCAGGACAGAUGCAGGGAAAAUCCAUUGCAUAACUCAGGCUUAAAUCUCCCCAGAGCAGCUGGGUCAGCAGGGCCUGGGGAAGCCAUCCUCCACCCAACAGCUCACAGACCUUCCCCUUCCCAUCAGUGAGAGUCAACAUGAGAAACUGAAGUCAGCCUCAAUCCCCAGGCUCCCUGACCCCACCUCACUGAGUUUCCCACAAAAAGGCAUGAGAUGCCUGCAGGACUUAAUAUUACUGGCUGCUUACAUUUAUGCAGAAUCUAAGGGCACUUAAUCACGUAUAUCAGCAGAGGGACCACCCAAAGUUUUCUAGAAUUUUUCAGUUCCACAAUCAGAUAUUUUAAGUUACAAGGGGACUUACAUUACUUUAUGAUCUUUUUUUUUUUUUUUUUUUUAAUUACUCUCAUAUUUGCUUUUAACAUAGUCCAAGUAAUUUAAUGAAGGAAAGGUGGUAAUAUGUGGGUUUACAAAGCUUUCUGUGAAUCUGUGUAAUACAGAAAUGUCUGAUUUAUUUUAUUAAUCUUAGCAAAGCUUUGAGGAAAAACAGUAUCAACAUAAGAAAAUACAAUAGGACCUAAAAGACGCUUUGUGUCAGAAAUUCCAGAAAAAUGUUUAUUUUAGUGAUGUCAUUAAUUGUUUUUUCUUUAAGGAAAAUAAUCUCACUAUGCCUCAGCUGUCUGCAUUACUGAAAAAUUGUUCAUGUUUGCUCAGAUGAAAUUGUUUAAAAGAGCUCAGCUCAACACCCAUUUGAACUACAUCAGUGUCCAUGUAAAUAAACAUUACAGCCAUCUUCCAUUUAAAUCAACUAACAACUAGUAAACUGUCCAUUCGACCUAAAAGAUUAGUAUCGACCUAAAAGAUUAGGUCGAAUGGACAGUUUGCUAGUUGUUAGUUGAUGAUGGAAAUGUAUCUCACCAAUAUUUAAUUAUAGCUCUGUAGAAGUUGUUUCACAAAUUAGAAAUGUUUUGAAUACUGUGUACUCUGAGGAGCUGUUAGUUUGCAAUAUAGCUAAGUGUUUCAGCUAACUGGUCAUAAAGAGAUGACAUGUGAGUACAUGAUUCACAUGCUGUUAAUUAAAGUUGCUAAUAACACUCAAAGCUUUAAUACAUAACCGCUAGCUACCUGGAUACUUGGUACACAUAUAGCUGCAACUGUAAAUGUGAUUCAGACAUCAUGUGAUGUAGAAGACCAUCUGGAAAGGGGAAAAAAUGAACUUCACAAGUGCAAACGGAAUAGAACAAAGACAGCUCCAAGGGGAAAACAGUGACCAGGCCUGGAAAGAAGAGUCUCCAUCCCUCUUUCUUCUUCUUCCUAUAAACACUAUGACUUUCUCUGAAAGGAAGAUGAACACACUAAGAAACAAAUAAAAAUACAAAGAAGAAAUAUAAGAAUUGUGAAAUGAUGUGGCAUCAUGGUACUAUCUAUAGAAGUGCAAAUUAGAGAAAAAGACAAACUUGAGAAGUUUAAAAGUAUUCUUUACCUGGUAAAUUUUAGUCCUGAGUAGAACUGUUAAUUUCAAUAAUAUUCAGUAGUUUAUUUUAGAAGGCCAAUUUCAAAGAUAAUUUAUAAUGGUCCAUUCUUCAUUCAUUAAACCCCUGACUUGAUUAUACUGGGAAUUCAGAGUCUGCAAGACAAACAAA